GGCGUCGAUCCCUAGCUCGAUGUGUAUUGCGAUGGUUGUGCAGAGGUGGCAUCAUGCCACUGUAGAGGUGCUAACUUGAAAGCAUCGAUAUCAAGCCAUCCCGCUAUCGUAGCCACUAUCCUCUCGAGUGUCUGACUAUGAUUCAUCCAGUAAAUAAUUUGAUCUUGCAUCAUGCUCAUUAAUGUCUUAACUACCUCUGGCACCGAGGCAUCAUCAGAUCGGUCGGACGAUGAACUGCAAGAUUUUAUUGAUCGCAUGCUAUG
rnacentral:lncRNA from 1 species